AUAUAAAUGUUCAUAGAUUUUAUUUUUGAGGGAUAACCGUGAUGGUACAUUAAAAGAGAGAGAAAAGAAGAAACUUACCAUGGUGGCUGGCAAGUAGUAAGAACCCAAAAUGAUACUUAUUGUUGUUACUAUAGAGAAGGAAUAAUGACAUUCAGAUUCAUAUCCAAGAAAAUACUCCUGUAUCUUUUUUUUUUUUUUUUUUUUUUUUUUUUUUUUUUUGACACAGAGUCUCCCUGUGCAGUUCAGGCUGGUCUUGAGUUCACUUUCUAGCCCAGGCUGGUCUCGAACUUGCAACGAUCCUCCUGCCUCAGCCUCCUGAGUGCUGGGAUUACAGGCGUGUGCCACCACACCUGGCCUUCAGGUAUCACUGAAUUGAAUUCUUUAAUCGACACAAUUACUAUACAGAUCAAAUGCAGGACAGCUAAAAAUGCUGGGAAAAUGUGCUGCUCCCUGCCCCCCACUAACUGGUUAAAGCCUCGUGUUCUUGUUUUCUUUUUUUUUUUUUUUUUUUUUUUUCUUUCUUUCUUUUUUUUUUUUUUUUUUUUUGUAACAGGAAUCAAGCUCACAACCUCACACUUGCCAGGCAGGCACUGUGCCACUGAGCUAGAACCCUGGCCCAAACAUGUUUUCUUUCUUUUUGUUUUUUCUUUCUUUCUCUUUCUAUCUAUCUAAGUUAUUUAGAGAUGGCGUCUUGCUGUGUUUCUCAGGUUGA
rnacentral:lncRNA from 1 species